AAUUGAUCGAGAGCUGAUGCCGCUUUCCUGAUGAGGCCAUGAUAGACUGAAAUUAAUU
rnacentral:hammerhead_ribozyme from 15 species